UACGAAGGGGGCUAGCGUUGCUCGGAAUUACUGGGCGUAAAGGGCGCGUAGGCGGCGGAUCAAGUCAGGCGUGAAAUUCCUGGGCUUAACCUGGGGGCUGCGCUUGAGACUGAUGUGCUUGAGGAUGGCAGAGGCUCGUGGAAUUCCCAGUGUAGAGGUGAAAUUCGUAGAUAUUGGGAAGAACACCGGUGGCGAAGGCGGCUCACUGGCUCAUUACUGACGCUCAGGCGCGACAGCGUGGGGAUCAAACAGG
rnacentral:rRNA from 1 species